GGAACAAGACUGUCUCUUUCUCAAGACCCCGAAUUUCACUUCCCCGUGAAGAGGCGAGGAUAAAAUCGCUAGACGAGAAGACCCUGUCGAGCUUAAGCAAAACCCAAGUCCAUAAUUUAUUUAACCUAGUCUAAUUUAUAACCAUAUCUAGCGUCAAAUUCUUAUUUUUCUUGGGGGAGCUUUGGUUGGGGCAACCGCGGAGUAAAAUAACCCUCCGCUCAUAAGAUAUGAUAAAAAGAGAAACAACUCUAAAACCAAAAUGAAACUAGUGAUCCACUAAGGUGAUCAAAGGAACAAGUUACCGCAGGGAUAACAGCGUCAUCUUUUCUGAGAGUUCACAUUGACGAAAAGGUUUGCGACCUCGAUGUUGGGAUCGGGGACAUCCUAAGGGUGCAGAAGCUUUUAAGGGGUUGGUCUGUUCGACCAUUAAAGUCCU
rnacentral:rRNA from 1 species